ACAAAAAAACUCUCAGCACAGCCCAGCCCAAGGCCUGCUGCUCCGCGCGCUCGCGCGAGCCGGCCUCUCCUCGGCCUGGGCCGCCGGCCUCCUCCCCUUUGGCCCAGAAGCCCAGCACCGCUAGGGUUUAACUCGUGACCGUCGGAUCAGAUCCGACGGCCCAGCGCGCGAUCCGCCCGAGCAAAAACGGCCGAUGCGGUGAGGGGGCGAGAGGGAACACUAGUCAUUUCCCCUCUCGCGCGUCGCUCGCCUCUCUCGCUCUCCGCAUCUUUCUCUCCCGCACGACGGCAGCGAGCGCAAGGAGAGGAUGCCAUGCCCGGCGGCUUGCCGGUGACGACGGCGAGGAGCAGCACCAGCGUGACUAGCUCCUUCUCUGUCUCUUUCUUUCCUGUUUCCCUUCUUCUUUCUCUUCUUCUGUCCCGUCGGCGCCGUCUCUGUCGAGGAAAAAAGGGCAGCGCCCUGGUGGGCCGCUCCGGCCGCCGUGGACGGCGGCGAGUGCCACUGCGCCGCGCGAGCCGUUCCCCUUCCCUCUCUUCUUUCUAUCCACCAGUGCCCCAGCGCAAGAGAGACUCCUCUGCUCCCCUUCGCGCGAGCGACGGCGGUUUCCAGAUGCGGCGCCCCCGCUGACCCCUUUGCCGGCGUGCGCGAGCACCUCUAGGGUGAACGCGCCGCCGUCAAACGGCUCGUUGGUGGUGCCCUUUGCCCUAGUGGGGGUAUGUUCUUCGUCUGAAUGGCUCAGCUUGUCGAUGCCCGUCUAGAUCGAGAGGAACGGCGCGUCCUUGCGGCGGCGCAACUUUUUCGACGAGGAGUUCUUUUCCCUCUUUCUCUGUUCGAGUUAGGGUUCUUGGAUGAAUCUUUUUUCUGUGAUUUCUUUGUACCGAAAAUAAUAUAGAUCCUAGCCUUGUCUGAUUCCAUUGAUAGAUGAUGUGGAUCACUAGGCUAGAUUAGAUCGGUGGUUUGCGGUGGUUUACCUUCUCCAUAGGUGGAUGAACCCGCAAAAGUGGCCAUGGUGGAUGGCUACGGCGGUGAUGGCAGAGAGUAGUGGGCGAAGUGGUGGCGGCGCUUGCCAUCAGCACUGCACUAACCCUAGAUCGGUAGGAGAUUAGGUGGGGUGUACGGCGCUGCGACGAACCUCGUGAUGCGAGCCGCCGGCCCCCACCUCUUUAUAUAGUGCAGGUGACAGGGGCCCGUCACCCAUAGUGGGUUGAGCGCCCGCGAUCAGGGCGCGGAUCUAAGAGCCCGGUGGGCCGUCGGGCCCACACGGUGGAGAUCACCCUAACAUCAACUUCAUUGUGGAUAUGUAUUUCUACCUUUUCCAGUUUAUGAUAGCUAAUCUGUGAGGCUCCGUGGGCAAUCCAUCCAUUUGCAGUGUAUUAGACGAACAACCCAAUCAUGGCUAGAAUAUAUAUUGCUCCUACAGAACUCCUAACCAAGUUUAUAUCUCAUGAUUUAUCUUCUUUCUCUUCGUACUACAAAUCUGAUUGUGAUGAAGCUUCCUAAGAAUUAUAUAUUCCGCACUGAGGGAUCUAGGAACAAGUGACCAACUUCUGUAUGUGUGUUAUUAUGUUGGACAACAAUCAUACCUUCUUGAUCGUAGAUUACAUGCUUAUCCUGUAGUAUACUCUACCAUUUGUAUACCUCUUAAAAAAAUGAUCAACAGGGAGACUCCCCGGUUACAUUACUCAGGAAGGAGGCAUAUCCUUUAAAGUUAAUGUCAACAAUUCAUAAUUUUAGUUUUCUUAGUAGAUUAGAUUCUGGUUUGUCAUAUUGGUACAAGGAAGAAUCUAGGUUCAGAAUUCUGUUGGACACCUUCCUCAUAUUGAUUUGUGGGUUGGUAUAAUGCCCAACUGUCAAUGGCUUCUCCAGUGGACGGAUUCCAGUGUUAGUGCCUUCAGAAAUAUCUGUUGUUGGUCUACUGUUGUGUUUACAAUUCAGUAAUUAGAUCCCUUCUUUCCUUUAUUUUUGCACUAACUGCCUCUUCUCUUUGUACUGCAAGAGCAUAACGUCAAAAGCGAGGACAGGGUUUGACGGCCAUAAUAUGUGUAGGUUUUUUUAGAAAAGGAGGAUGACCCUCGGCCUUUGCAUCUGAGCGAUGCAUACGGCUAUUUUAUUAAUUAUUCUCACAAGACAUUACAAAGUCAUACAACAGUAAGACUAAAGCCGCCGUCUAAGCAACAAACUGUCGCUACACCUAUCCAGUUGAUGAAGGGGCGCAGAUAGCCUGGGCCUAAUACCAAACAAACAUCGCAGCCAAGCCUAACAUCUAAGACCUGAGACCCCAACCUAGCCACUUGUCGGGUCUGGGGCACACACUGGUCCGGCGUGCUCUCAGAGGCCGCCGCCGCCAACUGCCACCGCUCCAUCUUCAGAACUGUACUGAUGCAUCAACCUUGCUCGGUCCAGCUAUCGUCGACGCCACCAUGGCGCCCAACGGCACCUUCUCCCUGCGCGCAAACAGCUGUACCCGUCGCGGUCGCCACUGAUACACCUCAGCGGCAUGCUGCCACGUACCACCAGCCGACACAGCUUGAAGCCCUUGGAGGAUCUGUCGUGCGUAGCACCUGCCAACCAGGCAUGACCAAGCGUAGCACCUGUCCGUCAGGCAUGACUUGACAUCUCCACCAAAGCUAUUGCAAGACGAAGCCGCUCCACCUCCUGCCCCUACUUCCAGCGUUGCUCCACAAAAUGACGCUCCUAAGAGAGAAACGACACCGCAGUGCCGCCAUCGUCCAGUCUGGAACACCAGAUCCUAGAGUUUCCCCCAGAGCAAUACAAGUGGGUCGACGGUAGUCACAUGACGAUGCCUUCAUCAAGGUAACGACGUGGAACGCCGCCAUCGCCCGCCGUCGGCUCGGUUUUCACCGGCAACUACGUCUCCCCGACUCGCAGCUGGUGCCAGAUGACGGAUCCCGAGAUCCGAACACCCAGCCUCAGGCCGACCACCUCUGACGGAAGAGAUGACCACCACCGCCGGCUGCACUGGUCAGAACAAAUCUGAUCGUAGGUGCCGCCGCCGAGACCACCAGGCCCUCCACGCCGCCAUCGCCGAUCUGAAGGCAGCAUGCACGCCACCGUAGCCAAGCCGGCCGCCGUCGACCGCAGCCGCCGCCGCCGCCCGAAGGGCCAUCCGCAGCGCCCGCAGCCCUGGCCUCUGCCGCGCCAAGCCGUCGCCGUCCGAGGACGGGCCGGCCUGCCGCCGCCUGCCGCCAUCCGCCGCGCCGCAGAUCCCAGAUCGGUCGCGCCACCACACGCCUUGGGGUCCUCCCUACCCCGGAGACGCGCGAGAGAGGAGAUCUCCCGCCACCGCCGCCGGGCCCCGGGCUUAGCCCGGCGGCGUCUUCCGGCAGCGGCGGAGGGAGGGGAGGAGGGAGUGUGCGGCGGCGGCUAGGUUUCUAGCCGCCCGAGUCGCCCCAGGGGGAGGACGACGUGGGCGUUACCUCUAUAAUAUGUGUACCGAAAAAGGCUUUCGCCCCGCUUUAUAAAUAAAGCACCCACCAAGCACAAAGUAUCAAGGUAACAACAGAACACAGCGCACACACAAACGCAACGCCACCGCAAGUCAGGAACCACACCAACAAGCACGGACACACACACAAUACCCAAGUUCCGUUGUGGGCACGGCACAUCACGCCCAACACAGAAGGACGAAGACACAAUCCCAGACGGUGGCAGCGGAGUGGACGGACAUGACGAUCUAAUCUGGUUCCGGAGGAGGUGGGGGAAGCGGCGGUGUCAAUCGGAGGGCCAUCGCACGGAGCUGGGUGAUGAUGGAGGUGAUGGCGUCUCUCUCCCUGGGCCGGCUAAGCGGCCGCCAAAGCUGCAAGUAACCAGACCAUUUGAACAAAGUAUCAGUCGCACGACGAAGAGGAAUAUGUUGAAUCACAAGUUUAUUCCUAACCAGCUCUCUAUAAUAUGUGUAGGUGGACAUAUAUGAAUAGAUUCAUAUAUAAAGUACAUGCAUAUAUAUUUUUUAGGUAAAACUGGUGUAUAAAGUAGAUGCAUAUACCAUAAUAAAGCUACUGAUGUGAGGAAUAGUUCUUGCCCCUUGCCUUGAUGGAAAUUGGCUUCACUGUGCCUCCAUGACUGUUUUCUCAUUGUGUUGUUCGGCUAAUAUUUAUGUGAAUCAUAGAAGAAAAAAGCGGCUGUAUCCACACCAUCGGUGACCGUGGCUUAGCAUCGAACCACCCCCACACUCUUGCAACAGGUGGCUCAGUUUAAAUGGCUUUCAGUAUUGUGAGAUGAGGUGGAAAUGGAGAGUAUGCUGGUGAAUUUUCAGACGAAUCUGCGAUCGUCUUGAACAAAAGAAAAAAAACAGAGAGCAAUUAUUUGUUACUAAUGACUUUUUUGUUGUAAGUGCAUAAUUUGGAGUUAUGUAUAUGCAACAAAUGUUCAAGUUUUCUUAUAUGUUCAUUCCUUAAUAAUUUUCUGAUUUUUAUUUCGUUAUUCUCUCAAGAUGGAAGGCUAAGGUGUGUGCGGCUUUUCCUUCCAUGGGGCACUAUUAAAUUGUGAAACGUCAGUAUUUUCUGAUGUAGCUGUAACUUGUAUGAGCUUGUGACUUCCUAAUAAAUUCUAACCCUGUUUCUUUUUCUUA